rnacentral:rRNA from 1 species
GCGGCAGCGCGGGGCAACCUGGCGGCGAGCGGCGAACGGGUGAGUAAUGUAUCGGAACGUGUCCUGUCGUGGGGGAUAGCCCGGUGAAAGCCGGAUUAAUACCGCAUACGAUCGAGAGAUGAAAGUGGGGGACCGCAAGGCCUCACGCGAUAGGAGCGGCCGAUAUCUGAUUAGCUAGUUGGUGGGGUAAAGGCCCACCAAGGCGACGAUCAGUAGCUGGUCUGAGAGGAUGAUCAGCCACACUGGGACUGAGACACGGCCCAGACUCCUACGGGAGGCAGCAGUGGGGAAUUUUGGACAAUGGGGGCAACCCUGAUCCAGCCAUUCCGCGUGAGUGAAGAAGGCCUUCGGGUUGUAAAGCUCUUUUGUCCGGGAAGAAACGGUUUCACCUAAUACGUGAGACUACUGACGGUACCGGAAGAAUAAGGACCGGCUAACUACGUGCCAGCAGCCGCGGUAAUACGUAGGGUCCAAGCGUUAAUCGGAAUUACUGGGCGUAAAGCGUGCGCAGGCGGUUGUGUAAGCCAGAUGUGAAAUCCCCGGGCUUAACCUGGGAAUGGCAUUUGGGACUGCACGGCUAGAGUACGGCAGAGGGGACUAGAAUUCCUGG